rnacentral:tRNA from 1 species
GAAGCUUUCAGGAUCAGGCUAGUCAGGAAAGAACUAGACCGACUGACUUUUAAUCAGUAGGUCAAAGGUUCGAAUCCUUCAGGGCUCACCA